GUGGGGAAUAUUGGACAAUGGGCGCAAGCCUGAUCCAGCCAUGUCGCGUGAGUGAUGAAGGCCUUAGGGUUGUAAAGCUCUUUCAGUAGGGAAGAUAAUGACGGUACCUACAGAAGAAGCCCCGGCUAACUUCGUGCCAGCAGCCGCGGUAAUACGAAGGGGGCUAGCGUUGUUCGGAUUUACUGGGCGUAAAGCGCACGUAGGCGGAUUGGUCAGUUAGAGGUGAAAUCCCGAAGCUCAACUUCGGAACUGCCUUUAAUACUGCCAGUCUCGAGUCCGGAAAAGGUGAGUGGAACUCCUAGUGUAGAGGUGGAAUUCGUAGAUAUUAGGAAGAACACCAGUGGCGAAGGCGGCUCACUGGUCCGGUACUGACGCUGAGGUGCGAAAGCGUGGGGAGCAAACAGGAUUAGAAACCCUUGUAGUCC
rnacentral:rRNA from 1 species